AAACUGGUGCAAAGACGCCGAUUGGUGGAUGACUCGGCUUGAUAAGCGAAGAAGGACGUGGCAAGCUGCGAUAAGCCUGGGUUAGGUGCAUGCGACCGUCGACCCCGGGAUUUCCGAAUGAGGUCUCUCUAUAUACUCCCUUGUCUUCACGGCUUGGGAGGGCGAACCGUCCGAAGUGAAGCAUCUGAGUAGGACGAGGAAGAGAAAUCAAUUGAGAUUCCGUUAGUAGCGGCGAGCGAAAGCGGAACAGCCCAAACUGAAUCUACCAUGGUAACAUGGCAGAGAUGUGGUGUUGCGGUUAUGGCGUACAGGAUCCUGUCCUUGAAGCUGAAGUGUACUGGAACGUACCGGAAAAGAGGGUGAUACCCCCGUAAGCAAAAGAGGAUGGGAUUCUGCCAUAUCCAGAGUAGCUGGCCUUGGCAGUGGCCAGUGAAGUUGGGAGAAAGUAGUUUCCAAGGCUAAAUAUUCAUCAAGACCGAUAGAAUACUAGUACCGUGAGGGAAAGUUGAAAAGUACCCCGGAAGGGGGGUUAAAAGUGCCUGAAACCAAUCGGUUACAGACGUGUAUGGCUCGAAAGGAUUUUCUAGAGUCAUACGUUCCGUCUAGAAACACGGACCAGGGAGAUUGCUGUCAUGGCAAGCUUAACCUUCUAUAAAGAGGGAAGGCGAAGGGAAACCGAAUUUGCGCACUCUUUUCCUGCAAAGGAAAGGACGAGGCAAUGGAUCUGAAAGGGUCUAAAGUCAUGGCAGUAAGGCUAGAAACCGGACGAUCUAGUCCUGGAUAAGACGAAGGUGAGCGAAAGCUCGCUGGAGGUCUGCAAGGGUCCUGACGUGCAAAUCGGUCCCCUGAUCUGGGAUUAGGGGUCAAAAACCAAUCUAGUCCGGUGAUCGCUAGUUCCCACCGAAGUGGAUCGCAGUCCUGCCUUAGUGGAGAUGGCUUGUUCUGUAGAGCACCGAUCGAACGGUAAGGGUCCGAAAGGGCUCGCUGUUCAUUCGAACUCCGAAUGCACAAGCGUCGUAGAAACUAGGAGGCGGGUUUAUGUGGGGUAAGCCUCAUAACCGAAAGGGGGACAACCCAGACUAAAGUUAAGGUCCCCAAAUGUCUGCUAAGUGUCAAACAAAAGGGCGUUUUCGAGCAAAGACAGCAGGGAGGUAGGCUCAGAAGCAGCCAUCCUUCAAAGAGUGCGUAACAGCUCACCUGCCGAGCUUGGAAGCCCCGAAAAUGGACGGGGCUCAAGUAGACUACCGAUACUUUAGACCACCGGUAAUGCCGGUGCGUGGUAGGUGGGCGUAGUGAUUGGGUAGAAGCUGGGCUGUGAAGUCCAGUGGACUGAUCUAACUAUUGCAGAUCCUGGCGGCAGUAACAGCAUAGCCGGGUGAGAAUCUCGGCGACCGCAAGGGCAAGGGUUUCCCGGCAAUGCGUCGUCAGCCGGGAGUUAGCCGGUCCUAAGAACAACCUCAACAGAGUUGUCCGAAUGGGAAACUGGUUAAUAUUCCAGUGCCUUGAAAGAUCGUUAAUAUCUGACCUGUUGCUUCCGGAUAAGGCGAGCAGAACCGUCGUUCUGUCCAAGUAUUCGAGUCUUAGGGAGUGCCGUAAUGGCGAGAACUAGGACGAGGUAUGAAUGGUCCUCCGCAAGGAGGAUUCGCUUAAAUCCAGGAGACAAUGAAAGCAGGGACAGAAAGAUUCUUUCAAGACCGUACCGAGAUCCGACACUGGUGCCCUGGAUUAGCAGUCUAAGGUCUGUCGGGCAUACCGUAAGGCGAGGGAACUCGGCAAAAUAGCUCCGUAUCUAUGGUAUAAGGAGUGCCUGCAGCUUUUGCGAGGAGCAGGAGCUGCAGGUCGCAGUGACAAGGGGGUCCCGACUGUUUAAUAAAAACACAGGUGGUCGCUAGUCCGAAAGGAUGAGUAUGGCCUCUGUAUCCUGGCCAGUGGCGGUACCUAAAACCUGGGUUCAACCGGGCUAAGGGCCGCUAAACGCCGGGAGUAACUCUGACUCUCUUAAGGUAGCCAAAUGCCUUGUCGGGUAAGUUCC
rnacentral:rRNA from 1 species